UCAUGAUUUUCUCCAGUUUUCUAUGUACAAUCAGUUAAAGUCAAUAUAUUGGCAGUGAAUGUAAUCUACAGAUAACAAUAAUCAUCCAUCCACAACUUUGGCUUCCACAAAUUUUGUGCACCUUCAAUACCUUCUGUUCUAGUUUAUGCAGCCAUUUAAAGAUAUGAUCGAAGAGACUAGGAAUUGCAAGCCAGUUAACCAACAUACUCAGAGAUGUUGGAGAGGAGUGGUAGCUAUAUUAUCUCUCAUGUUGACUAAAUAUUGUUGAGGCUAUAGAAGAUGGACCUUCUAGACCUUCACCUGCUAGGAAUUGAUUAGACAUUGUUGAAGUUGCUAUUGAAGAUGCACCUUCACCAAACAAGAAGGAAGAAAUUAAAGAAGAGCAAUGUAGAUGUUAGUAUGUGGUCAUAAAAAAGUUGUAAUGCAAUAUAUUUCAUACAACAAAACUGUCUUGUGUA